rnacentral:rRNA from 1 species
GAUGAACGCUGGCGGCGUGCUUAAUACAUGCAAGUCGAGCGAGGACCACUUGGUGGCAACACCGGGUGGCUCCUAGCGGCGAACGGGUGAGUAACACGUGGGCAACCUGCCCCCGACUCUGGGAUAAGCCCGGGAAACUGGGUCUAAUACCGGAUACGAGCCUCCUCCGCAUGGUGGAGGUUGGAAAGGGUCUCCGGUCGGGGAUGGGCCCGCGGCCUAUCAGCUUGUUGGUGGGGUAACGGCCUACCAAGGCGACGACGGGUAGCCGGCCUGAGAGGGUGAACGGCCACACUGGGACUGAGACACGGCCCAGACUCCUACGGGAGGCAGCAGUAGGGAAUCUUGCGCAAUGGGCGAAAGCCUGACGCAGCGACGCCGCGUGCGGGACGAAGGCCCUCGGGUUGUAAACUCCUUUCGCCAUUGACGAAGCCCUUUGGGGUGACGGUAGGUGGAGAAGAAGCACCGGCUAACUACGUGCCAGCCGCCGCCGUAAAAC